AGAGAGCUUGCUCUUGGGUGACGAGCGGCGGACGGGUGAGUAAUGUCUGGGAAACUGCCUGAUGGAGGGGGAUAACUACUGGAAACGGUAGCUAAUACCGCAUAACGUCGCAAGACCAAAGUGGGGACCUUCGGGCCUCACGCCAUCAGAUGUGCCCAGAUGGGAUUAGCUAAUAGGUGGGGUAAUGGCUCACCUAGGCGACGAUCCCUAGCUGGUCUGAGAGGAUGACCCAGCCACACUGGAACUGAGACACGGUCCAGACUCC
rnacentral:rRNA from 1 species